rnacentral:rRNA from 1 species
GUGAGGAAUAUUGGUCAAUGGGCGAGAGCCUGAACCAGCCAAGUCGCGUGAAGGAUGAAGGUUUUAUGAAUUGUAAACUUCUUUUGCAGGGGAAUAAAGUACGGUACGUGUACCGUUUUGUAUGUACUCUGCGAAUAAGGAUCGGCUAACUCCGUGCCAGCAGCCGCGGUAAUACGGAGGAUCCAAGCGUUAUCCGGAUUUAUUGGGUUUAAAGGGUGCGCAGGCGGGUUGAUAAGUCAGCGGUGAAAGUUUGCAGCUUAACUGUAAAAAUGCCGUUGAAACUGUCGGACUUGAGUGUAAAUGAGGUAGGCGGAAUGCGUGGUGUAGCGGUGAAAUGCAUGGAUAUCACGCAGAACUCCGAUUGCGAAGGCAGCUUACUAAGCUACAACUGACACUGAAGCACGAAAGCGUGGGGAUCAAACAGGAUUAGAAACCCUGGUAGUCC